AUCUGUCACUUGAGGAUGGGCCUGCGGCGCAUUAGCUAGUUGGUGGGGUAACGGCUCACCAAGGCGACGAUGCGUAGCCGACCUGAGAGGGUGAACGGCCACACUGGGACUGAGACACGGCCCAGACUCCUACGGGAGGCAGCAGUAGGGAAUCUUCCGCAAUGGGCGAAAGCCUGACGGAGCAACGCCGCGUGAGUGAUGAAGGUUUUCGGAUCGUAAAGCUCUGUUGCCAAGGAAGAACGUCUUCUAGAGUAACUGCUAGGAGAGUGACGGUACUUGAGAAGAAAGCCCCGGCUAACUACGUGCCAGCAGCCGCGGUAAUACGUAGGGGGCAAGCGUUGUCCGGAAUUAUUGGGCGUAAAGCGCGCGCAGGCGGUUCUUUAAGUCUGGUGUUUAAACCCGAGGCUCAACUUCGGGUCGCACUGGAAAC
rnacentral:rRNA from 1 species